rnacentral:rRNA from 1 species
GUCGAGAAUCUUCCGCAAUGCGCGAAAGCGUGACGGAGCGACACCGCGUGAUGGAUGAAGUCCUUCGGGGCGUAAACAUCUUUUAUAAAGGAGGAAAUUUUUGACGUUACUUUAUGAAUAAGGGGCUCCCAAUCUCGUGCCAGCAGGAGCGGUAAUACGAGAGCCUCAAGCGUUAUCCGGAAUCAUUGGGCGUAAAGGGUGCGUAGGUGGUUUGAUUAGUCUCCCGUUAAAACUUCGAGCUUAACUCGAAAAGAGCGGGGGAAACGGUCAAACUAGAGUAUGUGAGAGGUGUGUGGAACUCAUGGUGUAGGGGUGAAAUCCGUUGAUAUCAUGGGGAACACCAAAAGCGAAGGCAGCACACUGGCACAUCACUGACACUGAGGCACGAAACCUAAGGUAGCGAAUGGGAUUAGAAACCCGGGUAGUCC